GGCCCUAAUGAAGCAGGACAACUCAAGGCUUCAGGCCAAGUCCUUGUGUCCUUAUCAAAGGCAACAUCUGUCCCCUCCAAGAGGAUAACCCCUGGGGGGAGGAGGGUGAGACAGGCACAAGGGAGAAAUCCUGAUCUUGCCUGGGCCCUCACCCCAGAUUCCACUGCAGGCAUAGAUUGGGGGUGAAAGCCAAGACAGUCACAGAAGCCCUCACACACACAUGCCCCUGCAUGGGCCUUCAUGCCUCUGAGCCCCCACAUAUGAGACUCCACCUUCUAGGCAGGUUGGGGAUUGCUGAGAGGGCCCUCCAUGCAGGAGACAACCCCCCACAACUUGGAGGAGACAGAAUAGCUCUAGGGAGGAGGAGGGCCAUGGUCCCCGCAGAGACCCAGGGGCCCAGGCCUCCUUCCUUCCCAUCUUGUGGCUUCUCAGCCCUUCAUCUACAUUCAAGGAAGGGUCAGGCAGUGGGAAGUCAGAGAGAGGAAGGGGAAUGAGGGGGAAUGGGGGACGCUCAGAAGCAGGGAGAGGUCCUGGAGAUCU
rnacentral:lncRNA from 1 species